AAGCUGUGUCUCUCUCCCGGCAGUGCUUGUGGAGUGGGUUUAUGCCAGGAGCCCUGAAGUGGUCCAGCACGACGCCCUGCCCGUGCUCUGGUCCUUCCUGGAGAACAAGGCGCUGCCGGUGCGAAGCGCCAAUGUCCGCACUGUGGCCACCAAGCUUGCCUCUGCCCUCCACAAGGUGAUGGGCACCAAGCUGAAGAGAUGUGCUGCCAGCCAGCCUCCACAUGUGCGGGAAAACCUCUCCAAAAUGUUGGGCUGGUGAAGGCAUGAUGUUCUCCAGAGAGAUGACAACGUGCUGAGUUGGACACCUCCAGAUCUGCCUUGUUAGCUGUGCCAAAAGAGACCAAAUGCUAAGGAAGGGUGUGCACCUGCCCCCUCUCUCUCCAUCGCCCUUCCUAGUCAUGGCAUGGGGGGCCUGAAGCAACUCCAGACUGAGGACAAGGUGAAGGCUGAUCAUGACUCAGCCUCACACAGAGAUCGGACUGGUUACAGUCUUACUGAGAAGGUUCCUCUGGACAAUUCCCAUGGUGCCUUACCCACAAAGUCCUUGCCUGCUGUACAGAAGAGCUCUCUUUUCUCCAAGUUCAGGAAGAAGCUGCUGCCUGUAUGAAUAUUGUUUGAAGAAUAGGAUUUAUAUGUUAGGUUUUGUAGUAGAUGUACAUAUGUUCUGAUCCUUAGAUGUAGUUUUGAAUAAAUGUGUUUUGAUUGUA